GACGAACGCUGGCGGCAUGCCUAACACAUGCAAGUCGAGCGAGCAGAUCCCUUCGGGGUGAAGCUAGCGGCGGACGGGUGAGUAACACGUGGGCAACCUACCUCAUAGAGGGGAAUAGCCUUCCGAAAGGAAGAUUAAUACCGCAUAAGAUUGUAGCUUCGCAUGAAGCAGCAAUUAAAGGAGCAAUCCGCUAUGAGAUGGGCCCGCGGGGCAUUAGCUAGUUGGUGAGGUAACGGCUCACCAAGGCGACGAUGCGUAGCCGACCUGAGAGGGUGAUCGGCCACAUUGGGACUGAGACACGGCCCAGACUCCUACGGGAGGCAGCAGUGGGGAAUAUUGCACAAUGGGGGAAACCCUGAUGCAGCAAUGCCGCGUGAGUGAUGACGGCCUUCGGGUUGUAAAGCUCUGUCUUCGGGGACGAUAAUGACGGUACCCGAGGAGGAAGCCACGGCUAACUACGUGCCAGCCGCCGCAGUAA
rnacentral:rRNA from 1 species